UGUGGGAGCGGGCUUGCCCGCGAUGGCGUCAGUCCAGCCAACACCUAUGUUGUCUGAUCCACCGUAAUCGCGGGCAAGCCCGCUCCCACA
rnacentral:misc_RNA from 1 species